AGUUCAGCUGGUUAGAAUACCUGCCUGUCACGCCGGGGGUCGCGGGUUCGAAUCCCGUC
rnacentral:tRNA from 1 species